AUUAAUACUAUGGAUCAGGGUUUAAGUGUUGGUCGCGCUGACCCACUCACUGCCUGCACAGUUUUUGGAUUUGCUGGGCCUAUGGUGCCUUUAGCAGACCAGGAAUAAGAAUUACCCUGAUCAUGGCAUUACUUUUGAAAAUGCAUUCAAAAUGGCGUAUGCCCAGUAUUGUUUAGUAGCCACUUAGUCACAAACCCUGGCCAAAGUUAGUGUUGAGUUGAUAAGACCCAAAAUAAAAGCACAAAGAUGAAUGAUACAACCAGAUAGUAUGAG